CAACUUGAAGAAUGGAUAAGAGUUUACUUAAGGGUGGGGGCACUAUCAGACUUGUUCUACAGACCCCGUCAGAACAGAAGAGCAAGAGAAACCAAGGAGAAGAGACCAAGAAGAAUGAGAAGAGAUGAAGGAGCUUCAGAUAUAUACCUGUCGUGGUUUGGCUCUGUGUUUCCACCCAAAUCUCAUGUCAGAUUGUAAUCCCCACACGUUGAAGGAGGGGCCUGGUGGGAGGUGAUUGAAUCACGGGAGCAGACUUGUCCCUUGCUUUUCUAGCGAUGGAGUUCUCAGGAGAUCUGGUUGUUUGAAAGUGCGUGGCACUUUCCCCUUUCCUGUCUCUCUCUCUCUCCUGUUCUGCCAUGGUAAGACGUGUUUGCUUCCCCAUAGCCUUCCACCAUGACUGUAAAUUUCCUGAGCCCUCCCAGCCAUGCUUUCUGUACAGCCUGUGGAACUGUGAGUCAAU
rnacentral:lncRNA from 10 species